AUUGAACGCUGGCGGCAGGCCUAACACAUGCAAGUCGAGCGGAUGAAGGGAGCUUGCUCCUGGAUUCAGCGGCGGACGGGUGAGUAAUGCCUAGGAAUCUGCCUGGUAGUGGGGGAUAACGUCCGGAAACGGGCGCUAAUACCGCAUACGUCCUGAGGGAGAAAGUGGGGGAUCUUCGGACCUCACGCUAUCAGAUGAGCCUAGGUCGGAUUAGCUAGUUGGUGGGGUAAAGGCCUACCAAGGCGACGAUCCGUAACUGGUCUGAGAGGAUGAUCAGUCACACUGGAACUGAGACACGGUCCAGACUCCUACGGGAGGCAGCAGUGGGGAAUAUUGGACAAUGGGCGAACGCCUGAUCCAGCCAUGCCGCGUGUGUGAAGAAGGUCUUCGGAUUGUAAAGCACUUUAAGUUGGGAGGAAGGGCAGUAAGUUAAUACCUUGCUGUUUUGACGGUACCAACAGAAAAAGCACCGGCUAACUUCGUG
rnacentral:rRNA from 1 species